UUCGAAUUGCAUGCCACUUGUGUAUUUCAGACAUUCGAGUAUCUCAUAGUACGUUACACUACAGAACUUGGUGAAGUUUCAGGGUUAUUGUGAUAACUGAUGUGGUUGGUUUUCAGAUGGCUGAAUUUCUGAUCGAACGUAACAGCUCGGUGACAAGAAAGAACGAAGACCCCUCCAUUACACCUCAUAAAUGGGAUACAAUGACCUUGUGCGCCUUGUGCUCCACAACUGUGGAGCCGACAUCAACGCUCAAGAUAAGAUGAUACCAAAACAUAUUACACAGUGUAGAUGAACAGAUAGAAAGUGUGAACAUCAAAAGCCAUCGUGUGUUUGUUACCCAGUUUCCAUUCUGCAUCUAACAAUAGUAACCGAACAUCCAACAUCAUAACUUUAUUAUAUCAUCUAGUUAAUUUUGAUAUCACAUUAACUAAAAAGCUUUCCUCAUAAUAUACAAGAAAUUAAUACAUUGCCGAGAUUGUCAAAGAUGUGAAUUUUCAAUGUGCUUUGAUGCAAAUUAUUGCAAAAAACUAAUAUCAUGUUUAGCUAUGCAUAAAUUAAUAGGCAUGAUGGUCAUUCUUUACUGAAUCGAAAUAAGCUGUUAUAACUUUGUCAACUAUUAAUUUGGUUUUCAAUAAACUAGUUAUGAUCAGA